CCCGCUGAACUUAAGCAUAUCAAUAAGCGGAGGAAAAGAAACUAACAAGGAUUCCCUUAGUAACGGCGAGUGAAGCGGGAAGAGCUCAAAUUUAAAAUCUGGCAGUCUUUGGUUGCCCGAGUUGUAAUCUAGAGAAGCGUUUUCCGUGCUGGACUGUGUACAAGUUUCCUGGAUACGGAACAUCAUAGAGGGUGAGAAUCCCGUCCUUGACACAGACCCCCAGUACUUUUGUGAUGCGCUCUCGACGAGUCGAGUUGUUUGGGAUUGCAGCUCAAAAUGGGAGGUAAAUUCCUUCUAAAGCUAAAUAUUGGCGAGAGACCGAUAGCGAACAAGUACCGUGAGGGAAAGAUGAAAAGCACUUUGGAAAGAGAGUGAAACAGUACGUGAAAUUGUUGAAAGGGAAACGCUUGAAGUCAGUCGCGUCGUCCGAGACUCAGCCUCGCCUCGGCUUGGUGUACUUCUCGGAUGACGGGUCAGCAUCAAUUUUGCCCCUUGGAUAAUGGCGAGGGAAAUGUGACACCUUUGCGGGUGUGUUAUAGUCUCUAGUCGCAUGCAAGGGUCGGGAUUGAGGAACUCAGCACGCGCCUUCGGGCGUCGGGGUUCGCCCACGAUACGUGCUUAGGAUGUUGGCGUAAUGGCUUUAAACGGCCCGUCUUGAAACACGG
rnacentral:rRNA from 1 species